rnacentral:misc_RNA from 1 species
UUAAUCGAAAGGUGGUGUGUGCCAAUUGGUCCCAUUUAAAUUUAUUUGAGAUCUAACAACUACUUUUUGAGUUAUAUCUAAUAAUGCGUUUUUACUUGACGCUUUUUUCGUCGACCUACGUUGUAUUAUACCACAUAACUUUCUACUGGUGUACCGAUUUUGAUAAUUCUUUUUUUGUUGGAAAGGGGAUAUCCCUAGUUUGGAUCUGAUGAUGGGAUCCCAGAGAAAUCGAGGGAAACUCUUGAAAAUCCGCAAUAACUUUUUACUGGAUGUACCGAUUUUGAUAAUUCUUUUUUUGUUGGAAAGGGGAUAUCCCUAGUUUGGUACCAUGAUAAGGAAACAAGGAUCUGAUGAUGGGCUCCCAGAGAAAUCGAGGGAA